GCGCCCGUAGCUCAGCUGGAUAGAGCACCUCAUUUCUAAUGAGGGGGUCUCAGGUUCGAGUCCUGACGGGCGCGCCA
rnacentral:tRNA from 1 species